AUUGAACGCUGGCGGCAGGCCUAACACAUGCAAGUCGAGCGGAUGAAGGGAGCUUGCUCCUGGAUUCAGCGGCGGACGGGUGAGUAAUGCCUAGGAAUCUGCCUGGUAGUGGGGGAUAACGUCCGGAAACGGGCGCUAAUACCGCAUACGUCCUGAGGGAGAAAGUGGGGGAUCUUCGGACCUCACGCUAUCAGAUGAGCCUAGGUCGGAUUAGCUAGUUGGUGGGGUAAAGGCCUACCAAGGCGACGAUCCGUAACUGGUCUGAGAGGAUGAUCAGUCACACUGGAACUGAGACACGGUCCAGACUCCUACGGGAGGCAGCAGUGGGGAAUAUUGGACAAUGGGCGAAAGCCUGAUCCAGCCAUGCCGCGUGUGUGAAGAAGGUCUUCGGAUUGUAAAGCACUUUAAGUUGGGAGGAAGGGCAGUAAGUUAAUACCUUGCUGUUUUGACGUUACCAACAGAAUACGCACCGGCUAACUUCGUG
rnacentral:rRNA from 1 species